CCCGCCCGGAGCCGCCGCGUCCUCUGCUCCCCUGGGGCCGGCCCGGGCCGACCCGGCGGUGCCGGGAUGAGGCGGCAACGGGGAGCCGGGCGGGUUCGCCCGACACCCCCGCCCGGGGAGCGUCGUGUCGGGCGGAGGCGCCAGCCCGGGCGGGAACCGGAGGCAGUUUCCCGACGGCUUUUGACGCGGCUCUGAGGGGCUCGGGGGGAACAGGUGUCUCACAGGGUACGCUCCCAGUUGUAAAAGCCUUCCAUGUUUUCUAGCCCUGAUGGAGUUCGGGAAUCCUGGAGAAGACAUGCCAAUAGAUGACAGAGCUGCAUCAAUGAUGAUGCAGUAGAGCUGAAGGGAUUUCGCGCCUUGAAACAGAAAGGAACCAUGAACUACUGAGGGGAAUUAAAAAUGGAGUAAGGGGCAAAUAUUUAAUAAAAGGAUUGUAAAAUAA